CUACGGGGUGCAGCAGUAAGGAAUAUUGCGCAAUGGAGGCAACUCUGACGCAGCCAUGCCGCGUGCAGGAAGAAGGCCUUAUGGGUCGUAAACUGCUUUUAUUUAGGAAUAAACCCCCGAACGUGUUCGGGGCUGAAGGUACUAAACGAAUAAGCACCGGCUAACUCCGUGCCAGCAGCCGCGGUAAUACGGAGGGUGCAAGCGUUAUCCGGAUUUAUUGGGUUUAAAGGGUGCGCAGGCGGGCUAUUAAGUCAGUGGUGAAAUCCCGGGGCUCAACUCCGGAACUGCCAUUGAUACUGAUAGUCUUGAGUUUGGUUGAAGUGUGCGGAAUGUAGCAUGUAGCGGUGAAAUGCAUAGAUAUGCUACAGAACACCAAUCGCGAAGGCAGCUCACUAAGCCAAAACUGACGCUCAUGCACGAAAGCGUGGGGAUCAAACAGGAUUAGAUACCCGCGUAGUC
rnacentral:rRNA from 1 species